rnacentral:rRNA from 1 species
UACGUAGGGGGCAAGCGUUGUCCGGAUUUAUUGGGCGUAAAGAGCGUGUAGGCGGCCUGACAGGUCUGCUGUGAAAACUCGAGGCUCAACCUCGAGAUGUCGGCGGAAACCGUCUGGCUAGAGUCCGGAAGAGGAGAGUGGAAUUCCUGGUGUAGCGGUGAAAUGCGCAGAUAUCAGGAAGAACACCUAUGGCGAAAGCGGCUCCUGGUCCAGCACCGACGUUCAGGCACGAAAGCGUGGGGAGCAAACAGGG